GGGCCUGUAGCUCAGCUGGUUAGAGCGCUCGGCUGAUAACCGGGAGGUCGGUGGUUCGAGUCCACUCAGGCCCACCA
rnacentral:tRNA from 1 species